rnacentral:lncRNA from 1 species
UGGCCACUCGUACACUGACUCCAGCGGCUUUGUUGGGGAAUCCCUUAGGUGGGUUUGGCUCCUGGCUCACACUCAUACCCUCCCUCACUCAGUGGUCAAGGAGACCACACAGGCGUCAUUUAGAUGUCUCUGGGAACAAAGACCUGCCCUUCCUCAGGUAUUGAAUGGGGUAGAGGAAAUGGCUUUCCUUUCCUUCCUGGUUAGGGACAGAGAGGCCUCUCUAACCCAGGGAUUCACACCAUAGCUGCUGUUACUGCAGCUCACAUGUGGGGACAGUCUAGGUCUUGGAGGCCUGGUCAGUGUGAGGGAUGUCCUGGGGAGAACCUCAGAGGCCAGGCUGUUCCAAAUCCAGUGUUUGAGGGUGGAGAAUGGGAGCAGAACUGGGUACGUGACCCCACCUCCACAGUCUAGUUUGCCCCUGGACCCUUGGGUCCCCACAGGGCUAGGAAGGCAAUUCCUUCCUAAAGAAGCCGCCUGGAGUGGGUGGGGGUUUCGACUGAGGCAGCCCAGGGCAGGAAGGACACAGGAUAUAGGCAGUUGUGGUCUGAGUGGCCCUAAGCUGCCCCUGCUUGCUCUUGUCACCAGCUCACGAAUUUGUCAGAUCACCGGCUCCAGCCCAGGUG